AUCAAAUGUGGUCGACAAUAAUGAGAGAGAGGGACUACUAUAAAAUAUAAAACUUUGUAUUUUAUUUUGCAGGCAGACAAGACAUUUUGCUCAAGACAAAACAAGACAUUUUGCUCAAGACAAGACAUUUUGCUCGCAGACAAGAGAAUAAUAUGCAGGAAAAUAAUAGUAUUUCCCGUGACCGCGUGUGCAACGGGUCGUGUUCGUCAGCCAUCAAGGCCUCAUACGCUGUUAAGCGUCUUCCCGCGACUGCAUGUGCAACGAUAUUUUCAACCGAUAUCGCAUUUUGUCUCCAGUCUGCUGCAACCAGUUUCUUAUAUGUUUUACAAUUAAUGCGAUAGUACAAUAAAUAACGGAGAAUUGUCCACGCAGCUUUAUCAAAGAAGUGCAGACAUGGGUUUAAGAGUGCCGUUUAACAUAGCAUCGUAUUCCUUGCUGACUUACAUGAGCUGACGCUCAUGUUACUGGAUUAAAGCCAGGAGAAUUUGUACAUACAAUGGGAGACUGUCUACGUCUACGUCAACCAUAUAAGCGCCCUUGAGGAACAAGUAAAACGCGAACCGCGCGAGUUUCCAAACUUAAGGAUAGUUAGAGAAGUUAAAGAUAUUGACGAUUUCAUUGCCGAGGAUUUCGAAUUGAUAGAUUACAAUCCAUACUCCAAACCCUACAUGAAGAUGGCUGUGUUAAAUAAAACGGUUGCAAAACUGUUGAGUCUGCUGAACGCAGCCAUUGAUAGAUUUAAAAAAAAAACAAAAAGCAAGAACGAGAAAGCAGUCGUGUAACUCUUGUGAAACAAAUGAAGAUAUAUCUACAACAUUCUUUUUUUCUGCGUCUCCAUUGUGUGCAGUUGAAGUGGUCGAAGUUUUUCGUCCUUCGUGGAAAAACAAAUCUUUAUAAAAGCUAUUGGAUUACAAGGCUAUUGGAAAUUAGUAUUCCUAUACGAAGGAAUUAAAGGAGUCAAGGAGGUUUAAAUAAAGCCUACGUUACAUCUACACGGACAAAAGGCUUUUUAAGAAAAGUGACUAAUUACAGAAACUCAAAAACAAGUAUUGAAAGAAUAAAGAAAAAAGAGAAAAUAAAAGAAUGGAC